rnacentral:rRNA from 1 species
AUUGAACGCUGGCGGCAUGCCUUACACAUGCAAGUCGAACGGCAGCACGGAGCUUGCUCUGGUGGCGAGUGGCGAACGGGUGAGUAAUAUAUCGGAACGUACCCUGGAGUGGGGGAUAACGUAGCGAAAGUUACGCUAAUACCGCAUACGAUCUAAGGAUGAAAGUGGGGGAUCGCAAGACCUCAUGCUCGUGGAGCGGCCGAUAUCUGAUUAGCUAGUUGGUAGGGUAAAAGCCUACCAAGGCAUCGAUCAGUAGCUGGUCUGAGAGGACGACCAGCCACACUGGAACUGAGACACGGUCCAGACUCCUACGGGAGGCAGCAGUGGGGAAUUUUGGACAAUGGGCGAAAGCCUGAUCCAGCAAUGCCGCGUGAGUGAAGAAGGCCUUCGGGUUGUAAAGCUCUUUUGUCAGGGAAGAAACGGUGAGAGCUAAUAUCUCUUGCUAAUGACGGUACCUGAAGAAUAAGCACCGGCUAACUACGUGCCAGCAGCCGCGGUAAUACGUAGGGUGCAAGCGUUAAUCGGAAUUACUGGGCGUAAAGCGUGCGCAGGCGGUUUUGUAAGUCUGAUGUGAAAUCCCCGGGCUCAACCUGGGAAUUGCAUUGGAGACUGCAAGGCUAGAAUCUGGCAGAGGGGGGUAGAAUUCCCACGUGUAGCAGUGAAAUGCGUAGAUAUGUGGAGGAACACCGAUGGCGAAGGCAGCCCCUGGGGUCAAGAUUGACGCUCAUGCACGAAAGCGUGGGGAGCAAACAGGAUUAGAUACCCUGGUAGUCCACGCCCUAAACGAUGUCUACUAGUUGUCGGGUCUUAAUUGACUUGGUAACGCAGCUAACGCGUGAAGUAGACCGCCUGGGGAGUACGGUCGCAAGAUUAAAACUCAAAGGAAUUGACGGGGACCCGCACAAGCGGUGGAUGAUGUGGAUUAAUUCGAUGCAACGCGAAAAACCUUACCUACCCUUGACAUGGCUGGAAUCCUCGAGAGAUUGAGGAGUGCUCGAAAGAGAACCAGUACACAGGUGCUGCAUGGCUGUCGUCAGCUCGUGUCGUGAGAUGUUGGGUUAAGUCCCGCAACGAGCGCAACCCUUGUCAUUAGUUGCUACGAAAGGGCACUCUAAUGAGACUGCCGGUGACAAACCGGAGGAAGGUGGGGAUGACGUCAAGUCCUCAUGGCCCUUAUGGGUAGGGCUUCACACGUCAUACAAUGGUACAUACAGAGCGCCGCCAACCCGCGAGGGGGAGCUAAUCGCAGAAAGUGUAUCGUAGUCCGGAUUGUAGUCUGCAACUCGACUGCAUGAAGUUGGAAUCGCUAGUAAUCGCGGAUCAGCAUGUCGCGGUGAAUACGUUCCCGGGUCU